rnacentral:rRNA from 1 species
UACGGGGGGAGCAAGCGUUGUUCGGAUUUACUGGGCGUAAAGGGCGCGUAGGCGGUCAGCACAAGUCAGUUGUGAAAUCUCCGGGCUUAACUCGGAAAGGUCAACUGAUACUGUGCGACUAGAGUGCGGAAGGGGCAACUGGAAUUCUCGGUGUAGCGGUGAAAUGCGCAGAUAUCAGGAGGAACACCAAUGGCGAAGGCAGCUCACUGGGACGGUAUUGACGCUGAGACGCGAAAGCGUGGGGAGCAAACAGG